AGUCCGUUGGGGUAGUGGCCAAUCCUCUCGGAUUCUGGGUCCGAGGACCCUGGUUCGAAUCCAGGACGGACUA
rnacentral:tRNA from 2 species